CCUACGUGCGGCAGCAGUGAGGAAUAUUGGUCAAUGGGCUUACGCCUGAACCAGCCAAGUCGCGUGAGGGAAGACUGCACUAUGGGUUGUAAACCUCUUUUGUCAGGGAGCAACGCCGGCUACGUGUAGCCGGACUGAGAGUACCUGAAGAAAAAGCAUCGGCUAACUCCGUGCCAGCAGCCGCGGUAAAACGGGGGAUGCGAGCGUUAUCGGGAUUUAUUGGGUUUAAAGGGUGCGCAGGCGGAAUGCCAAGUCAGCGGUAAAAUCGCGGGGCUCAACCCCGCUCCGCCGUUGAAACUGGCGUUCUUGAGUGGGCGAGAAGUAUGCGGAAUGCGUGGUGUAGCGGUGAAAUGCAUAGAUAUCACGCAGAACUCCGAUUGCGAAGGCAGCAUACCGGCGCCCAACUGACGCUGAAGCACGAAAGCGUGGGUAUCGAACAGGAUUAGAUACCCCGGUAGUC
rnacentral:rRNA from 1 species